ACAGUGUCCUCUCCUCCUGCUCCCUCUGCUCCGGACAGCAUCCUCCCCUCCUGCUCCCUCUGCUCCGGACAGUGUCCUCUCCUCCUGCUCCCUCUGCUCCGGAGAGUGUCCUCUCCUGCUGCUCCCUCUGCUCCGGACAGCAUCCUCCCUUCGUGCUCUCUGUCCCGGGCCGUUUCUCCCUGCUCGGGACCUCUGGAGCAGAUGGCACUGCGGGGACACCGAGCUCACGGGGCUGAGCAGAGGGGCUGAGCUGUGGGUCCCAGCCAGGGCACACACGGAGGGAGCACAGCAGGAGCUGGCACAGGGAUGUUCUGGGGCAGGAAUUGGCACAGGGAUGUUCUGGGGCAGGAACUGGCACUGGGAUGUUCUGGGGCAGGAACUGGCACAGGGAUGUUCUGGGGCAGGAAUUGGCACAGGGAUGUUCUGGGGCAGGAACUGGCGCUGGGAUGUUCUGGGGCAGGAACUGGCACGGGAUGUUCUGGGGCAGAAUUGGCACAGGGGUGCUCAGCAAGGGAUGCUCCAGUGCAGGAUUUGCACAGGGAUGCUCCAGUGCAGGAUUUGCACAGGGAUGUUCAGCACAGGGAUGCUCUGCACAGGGAUGCUCCAGUGCAGGAUUUGCACAGGGAUGUUCUGGGGCAGGAAUUGGCACAGGGGUGCUCAGAACAGGGAUGCUCCCAUGCAGGAUUUGCACAGGGAAGCUCAGCACAGGGAUGCUCCCAUGCAGGAUUUGCACAGGGAUGUUCUGGGGCAGGAAUUGGCACAGGGAUGCUCUGCACAGGGAUGCUCCAGUGCAGGAUUUGCACAGGGAUGCUCAGCACAGGGAUGCUCCCAUCCAGGAUUUGCACAGGGGUGCUCAGCACAGGGAUGCUCCCAUGCAGGAUUUGCACAGGGGUGCUCAGCACAGGGAUGCUCAGCACAGGGAUGCUCCAGUGCAGGAUUUGCACAGGGAUGCUCAGCACAGGGAUGCUCCCAUCCAGGAUUUGCACAGGGGUGCUCAUUACAGGGAUGCUCCAGUGCAGGAUUUGCACAGGGAUGCU
rnacentral:lncRNA from 1 species